rnacentral:misc_RNA from 1 species
CGCAGCCGCGGUAAUUCCAGCUCCAAUAGCGUAUAUUAAAGUUGUUGCAGUUAAAAGCUCGUAGUUGAAUUUCGGGAUCAGUUGGUCGGUCGUGCCUCGGUACGUACUGGUCAAAUUGAUUCCUACCUUCUGACGAACCACGAUGUCAUUAAUUUGGUGUCGCGGGAAAUCAGGACUGUUACUUUGAAAAAUUAGAGUGUUUAAAGCAGGCUCGCGCUUGAAUACAUUAGCAUGGAAUAAUGAAAUAGGACGUUUGAUUCUAUUUUGUUGGUUUCUAGGAUCGACGUAAUGAUUAAUAGGGAUAGUUGGGGGCAUUAGUAUUCAAUUGUCAGAGGUGAAAUUCUUGGAUUUAUUGAAGACUAACUACUGCGAAAGCAUUUGCCAAGGAUGUUUUCAUUAAUCAAGAACGAAAGUUAGGGAUCGAAGACGAUCAGAUACCGUCGUAGUCUUAACCAUAAACUAUGCCGACUAGGGAUCGGAUGAUGUUAAUUUUUUAAUGACUCAUUCGGCGCCUUAUAC